rnacentral:snRNA from 1 species
UGUGCUUCUCGGCCUUUUGGCUAACAUCAAAGUGUAGUAUCUGCUCUUAUCAGCUUAAUAUCUGAUGCGAUCCCCAUGUGGGAUCUACGAUAUUAAUCUGAUUUUUGUAAAUUGGCGAAGUGCUGGGGGCUUGCUCCACCUUUGUCGCGGAUCGGUCCGGUAUUGCAGUACCUCCUGAAUCGGUCCACUUAAU